GAGCUGAGCGUGAAGGCCUGGGCGAGCGGAAGGGUGGGAGAGAGGGGCUAGGCCGGGGAGGGAAGCGCUGGGGCCGGGGCCGGCUUUCCAGGAGCCGGCGGGAGCGGGGUGCGUAAGAGGCGGGCGAGGAAGAACCGGCGGGCAACGGGAAGGGCAGAGGUGGAUCUCUCCCUCAGCGACCCCUCUCGCCGAGUGAAGGGUCGAGGGUUUGGGGCACAAAGGGCGCAGAACGUUUUUUCCUGUGAGAGGAACAUUAAGACUCCUGGGAGGGCUGGGGCUAACGCCUCCGAGAGCCCCACCUGGUCAGCCUAGGGUUAGACGUGUAGCCAGGGUGCUGGGAGGGGGCCGCUGCUGGGCCCCAGAUAGAGGGGUAGAGGCCGCUCAAUCACGGAGCCAGGCCCCACCUGCUGUAGAAACCGCCACCGAGAGCCGGCCGGGCUUGCUGCACGCUCUGGAUUCCGCCUGCCUAUAGGCGAGGCACAAGGGACUGCGAGACCAGGCCUGAAGGCAGAGAGGUCAGCAGGCUCGGGGGCCUCUGCUCCAGCGGACAACAAGCGCACCGGGCGGGAACGGCCGCCUCCCCAGGCGCUGCAGCCUAGCUCUCAUGUGACCCACGGAACUUAGCCCCUCUGUUCUGUUUGCAUACCUGCAAAUUGUGGGCAUUCACGCCGGGACUGCCAACUCACCAGGUUAUUUAUAGUGACAAGAGAGUGAGACAGUGGGCUUGAAAGUGUUUUCCAGACCAAGGCUCUGUCCCACAUAUAGGUGGAUUAACUGUCUGGCAAAGGCAGGAAUCCAUUGAAGAGGCCAUCUCCACAUUCAGAACCAAGCUUCUGCUUUGUACUCUGGAAAAUGCCAGCCACCCAUGAGGAGAGACCACCCUGCUAGCCACAGGGAGAGGCUAUGUGAAAAGAAAGAGAUGCCUGGCCAGCUCUAGCUCUUCAGCUCAUCCCAGCUGAGCUACCAGACACAUGAGUGGAAAAGCCCUUAGGAAGUUCCAGCUCCAGCAGACACCAUACUGAACAGAGGAGAGAUAAGCCAUCCCCACGGAGCACUGCCAAAAUGACGGCAUUGUGAACAAAUAAAUGAUCAUUGUUUUAAGG
rnacentral:lncRNA from 1 species